AUUGAACGCUGGCGGCAGGCCUAACACAUGCAAGUCGAGCGGAUGAAGGGAGCUUGCUCCUGGAUUCAGCGGCGGACGGGUGAGUAAUGCCUAGGAAUCUGCCUGGUAGUGGGGGAUAACGUCCGGAAACGGGCGCUAAUACCGCAUACGUCCUGAGGGAGAAAGUGUGGGAUCUUCGGACCUCACGCUAUCAGAUGAGCCUAGGUCGGAUUAGCUAGUUGGUGGGGUAAAGGCCUGCCAAGGCGACGAUCCGUAACUGGUCUGAGAGGAUGAUCAGUCACACUGGAACUGAGACACGGUCCAGACUCCUACGGGAGGCAGCAGUGGGGAAUAUUGGACAAUGGGCGAAAGCCUGAUCCAGCCAUGCCGCGUGUGUGAAGAAGGUCUUCGGAUUGUAAAGCACUUUAAGUUGGGAGGAAGGGCAGUAAGUUAAUACCUUGCUGUUUUGACGUUACCAACAGAAUAAGCACCGGCUAACUUCGUG
rnacentral:rRNA from 1 species